rnacentral:rRNA from 1 species
GGAGCCUGCGGUUUAAUUGGACUCAACGCCGGGCAGCUCACCGGAUAAGACAGCUGGAUGAUAGCCGGGCUGAAGACUCUGCUUGACUAGCUGAGAGGAGGUGCAUGGCCGUCGUCAGUUCGUACUGUGAAGCAUCCUGUUAAGUCAGGCAACGAGCGAGACCCACGCCAACAGUUGCCAGCAUGUCCUCCGGGAUGAUGGGGACACUGUUGGGACCGCCUCUGCUAAAGAGGAGGAAGGAAUGGGCAACGGUAGGUCAGCAUGCCCCGAAUUAUCCGGGCUACACGCGGGCUACAAUGGUCAGGACAAUGGGUAUCGACACCGAGAGGUGGAGGCAAUCUCCUAAACCUGUCCUUAGUUCGGAUUGUGGGCUGCAACUCGCCCACAUGAAGCUGGAAUCCGUAGUAAUCGCGUUUCAAAAUAGCGCGGUGAAUAUGUCCCUGCUCCUU